UAGCUCUCAACCCUUUGAUUGAUAAAGCAUGCGCAGUGCUUUGGCAGUAUAGACAUAGAGAUAAUAUGUCUCCGGCGUUGGAAGAAAAACCGAGAUCUUCACAUAUCGUACUGAACCCAUGAGUUGGAUGCCUCUGUCAAAGUAAGAUUAUCCAGUGUGGCCGCAGUAUAGAAUGUAUUAUUGAAUGCGAAUGUGGUUUCCUAUAAUAGUAAGUCAUCUUUCAGGUCGUUGGCGCGGGGCUCCAUAAUUGAACAAUUGGUAAGCAAUGUGAUGAAUGUUGAUAUUAUGUUUUCUUUCAGAAUCUGGUGACUUGAAAUAUUAAUAGCCAAUACAUUAUGUAUGUUCUUUACAUAUACUAUCUUGUGUUUUUAUUUCUUCUGUUACAGGUGGUGAAGGUUUUUCGGCUGGGUUUUUCUCCUUCACCUGAUUGGCAUCACAAUUGGCAAGACUAUUGGCACAAUUCCCAGCACUAUUGGCAGUAAUAAAUAUAUUUCAGCUUGACUGGCAUUAUAAUUGGCUUUAAUAAAUAUAUUUCAUCUUGUA